rnacentral:misc_RNA from 1 species
CUGGGGUUGUUUUUAGCUUUUGGUUGUUUGCUUGGCCUUUGAGCCUCGUAGGCAGCCGAUUGAUGGGGCGGCUUUGAAGAUGUUUAUCAUAAAGAUGCAUGAGUGAUGUUUGGAUUGAUACGGGUGGUUGGCUCCCUGCUUAAGCAGGCACGACCAUGCGUACAUUCCUCUUCAGUUAUGCGACAGGGCUUGUAUCGCCUUGAUCAUAUGUGUGGGUUUCCUAUGUUGCAUACCCGAUCAAUGGCAUCGUCUUGAUCAAAACAGUCCCUUUUCAUCAAGCGCCGCUCUUGUGACGUCGGACAAAUCAAGUAGCACCCUCGUUGAUCCAUCAUGUUGAAGAGCAUUUUUCUAUGGUUUGGCCCAUUAAGGGAUGCUUGGUCUCUCAGAUAUGGAAGCCAAAGUGGGCAUGGGGUUGUAUGAUCCUUUUAUUACCCUCAUUGAGCAUCCUUGCUUCUCUAAAAUGACCGCCUCUCACGUAUGGCAUGUCCCAGCAUGUUUAGCUAUGUCGAAGAGGAAUGCUACC